rnacentral:rRNA from 1 species
CAAUAGCGUAUAUUAAAGUUGUUGCAGUUAAAAAGCUCGUAGUUGGAUUUGUGGCGUACGGUGUGUUCCGGGCACUUGUUGUCUGAGUAACCUGCUGUUGCCAUCCUUGGGUGGAACCUGUGUGGCAUUAGGUUGUCGUGCAGGGGAUGCCCAUCAUUUACUGUGAAAAAAUUAGAGUGUUCAAAGCAGGCUUAUGCCGUUGAAUAUGUUAGCAUGGAAUAAUGAGAUAGGACUUUUUUGCUAUUUUGUUGGUUUGCGCAAAGAGGUAAUGAUUAAUAGGGACAGUUGGGGGUAUUCGUAUUCCAUUGUCAGAGGUGAAAUUCUUGGAUUUUUGGAAGACGAACUACUGCGAAAGCAUUUACCAAGGAUGUUUUCAUUAA